UUAAAAUACCUCACUUUUUAAUUGACAACAAAAGUCUGUGCCUCUUUUUGUUACUGAUACUGAGGAAGUAGAAGAGUUCUUGUGUCCUAAAUCUACAAGAAGCUGUGCAAUUCAUCUUUGCCCCUCUGCGGGGUCUGAAGCUGAGCUCUGACCUAGCCUUCUCCUUUGCAGAGUUUUGCAAUAGAAGUAGAUGCGGAACAGCUAGACUCUGGAAGAGGAAAUUCUCCUGUCACUAGCGAGCUCUGAGAGACUCUGGGUCCUCCUACAAGCUCCUACUGGGUCCCUUGAAGUUGGUUUACGCUUUUAGACAUAUCUAGUUAUGUUGCAAAGAGGAAAUGGCUCUUUACCCUUAACAAUCCAUGCAGAUAAGGAUCGCUAGCUGCCAGAGAACCUGUUUUUCUGAGUAGUGAUGUAAAGCCAGCAGGACUGGUGACAAGGGCUUGCCUUUCCUAGGCAGGAUUCAUCCCAGCAGAGUGUGGUGCACAGCAGUCAACAGCUCAGACAUUGCUGCAGCAGAAUAACCACGAAUCUGGGGUACUUCCCAGCCUGGGAGUCCUUACACCAGCUGGGUGUAGCAUGUUCCUGCCACCUCACGUCUGUAGCCAGCAGCAGUACCAAGGGUUCAGCAAGCUGCGUGCCCUCAUCCUUACGUAUC
rnacentral:lncRNA from 1 species